rnacentral:rRNA from 1 species
AAAUCAGGUGGGACUACCCGCUGAACUUAAGCAUAUCAAUAAGCGGAGGAAAAGAAAAUAACUAUGAUUCCCUUAGUAACGGCGAGUGAACAGGGAGAAGC